CCUUUAAGAAAAAAAAAACCAAGAAAAGUCCCGAAACACCACUCCUGCAGUGGCCUCGAGGCUUUGGCGGGCUUGUGCAGAGCCCCCAACAUGGCACAGGGCAGCGGGGCGCAAUGGGGGGCAGUGGGGAUCGCCCCCCGCUCGGCAGUAACUCCUCCAACACAAAAUAUCCAUUUUUCAUCCAGCUGUAAUUGGGGCCACGUUCUAGUAGGCACUUGACAAAUACAAGAAUUACACCAAAGAUGGACAUGACUCUGGGAUUUCAGUCAGACUGCAAGAGCAGCACGAGCUCUCAGUGCAUUGCCCUUUAAGCAGGACUUUCAGAUAUACCUUUAUGAACUCAAAGGUUUUAUAGUAUUUCAAGUGUCUGAAAAGACUUCUGGUGAAGGGGAAGCAGACAAAAAGAUCACAAGUAGGAACUAUUAUCCUUAUUCAAUACUGCUUCAUGGCAUGUACAGUCAGAGUCCAUUUAGCAGCUUUCUUUGGCAUUUGUGGCCUUUUUCUAGUCUAA